AAUAGAUACCCGGGUAGUCCACCCGUAACGUUGGGAACUAGUUGUGGGGUCCUUUCCACGGAUUCCGUGACGCAGCUAACGCAUUAAGUUCCCCGCCUGGGGAGUACGGCCGCAAGGCUAAAACUCAAAGGAAUUGACGGGGACCCGCACAAGCGGCGGAGCAUGCGGAUUAAUUCGAUGCAACGCGAAGAACCUUACCAAGGCUUGACAUACACGAGAACGGGCCAGAAAUGGUCAACUCUUUGGACACUCGUGAACAGGUGGUGCAUGGUUGUCGUCAGCUCGUGUCGUGAGAUGUUGGGUUAAGUCCCGCAACGAGCGCAACCCUCGUUCUAUGUUGCCAGCACGUAAUGGUGGGAACUCAUGGGAUACUGCCGGGGUCAACUCGGAGGAAGGUGGGGAUGACGUCAAAUCAUCAUGCCCCUUAUGUCUUGGGCUUCACGCAUGCUACAAUGGCCGGUACAAUGGGCUGCGAUACCGUAAGGUGGAGCGAAUCCCAAAAAGCCGGUCCCAGUUCGGAUUGAGGUCUGCAACUCGACCUCA
rnacentral:rRNA from 1 species